rnacentral:rRNA from 1 species
AACGAACGCUGGCGGCGUGCUUAACACAUGCAAGUCGAACGAUGAAGCUGGAGCUUGCCCCGGUGGAUUAGUGGCGAACGGGUGAGUAACACGUGAGCAAUCUGCCCUUGACUCUGGGAUAACUGCGGGAAACUGUAGCUAAUACCGGAUACUUUCACUGGAAGGCAUCUUCUGGUGAAGAAAGAAUUUCGGUCAAGGAUGAGCUCGCGGCCUAUCAGCUUGUUGGUGAGGUAACGGCUCACCAAGGCGACGACGGGUAGCCGGCCUGAGAGGGGGAGCGGCCAAACUGGGACUGAGACACGGCCCAGACUCCUACGGGAGGCAGCAGUGGGGAAUAUUGCACAAUGGGCGCAAGCCUGAUGCAGCAACGCCGCGUGAGGGAUGAAGGCCUUCGGGUUGUAAACCUCUUUUAGCAGGGAAGAAGCGAAAGUGACGGUACCUGCAGAAAAAGCACCGGCUAACUACGUGCCAGCCGCCGCAGUAA